GACGAACGCUGGCGGCGUGCUUAACACAUGCAAGUCGAACGGAAAGGCCCUGCUUUUGUGGGGUGCUCGAGUGGCGAACGGGUGAGUAACACGUGAGUAACCUGCCCUUGACUUUGGGAUAACUUCAGGAAACUGGGGCUAAUACCGGAUAGGAGCUCCUGCUGCAUGGUGGGGGUUGGAAAGUUUCGGCGGUUGGGGAUGGACUCGCGGCUUAUCAGCUUGUUGGUGGGGUAGUGGAUUACCAAGGCUUUGACGGGUAGCCGGCCUGAGAGGGUGACCGGGCACAUUGGGACUGAGAUACGGACCAGACUCCUACGGGAGGCAGAAGUGGGGAAUAUUGCACAAUGGGCGGAAGCCUGAUGCAGCAACGCCGCGUGCGGGAUGACGGCCUUCGGGUUGUAAACCGCUUUCGCCUGUGACGAAGCGUGAGUGACGGUAAUGGGUAAAGAAGCACCGGCUAACUACGUG
rnacentral:rRNA from 1 species